UCCUGCCCCUGACCUUGAGCUCCACCGGGAGAGCUCAAGGAUGUCUGUCCUCUUCCUCCCCUGCGCCCCCAGAGAGGUGGCGGCCGAGGUUUCACAACCCUCUACGCUGCAGCCUAUAGAUUGAACAUGCACCGAGAGAGCAAGUCAUGGUGCAGCAGAGGGGUUUGAUCUCAGCACGGGGACGAGGGACACACUGACAGCAUGGACUCUCGAGGGAAAAUCUUGGUCAGCGACAAGACACAUGCACAUUGACUGAUGGCAAGAAGCUAGCUGUGGCGUGGAACACUGUGUGCUGACAAACUUGGCCGUCCUUACCCCUCCAAUGUGACCUUGACUGAGUCUCUUCUCUGCACUUUCUGAUCUAUAAAACCAUCAAAUAACUUGCUUUCACCAAAGGAAAACUAAGGUGUAAUGCUCUAGCUCAGCUGCGAGUGUUUGCCCAGCACACAGGAAGCCCAGACUCGAUCCUCAGCACUGUGUAAACAGUGUAUGGAGGCACAGGCCUAUGAUCCCCGCACCUGGGGGAGGGGGAGGUCGAUCAGGUGGUCAAGGUCAAGGUCACCCUUGAACAGCCCAAGUUCAGUCCUCAGGACUCACAAGGAAGAGGGAAAACUGACUCCAGAAAGUUGUUCUCUGACCUCCACACACACUCUGUGGCACACACACACACACACACACACACACACACACACACACACACAACCACACACAUAUUGCACAUACAACACAACCAUACAUGCACACUACACAUACAACCACACACACACACUACACACCUGACCACACACUUACACAACACACACUAACAUACAUACCACACACACUAAAACAUACACACUACACACACAAUCACACAUAUAACACACACACACACACACACACACACACAAAGUACAGCAUAAAAUCCAAACAUUUGCUGUGCCUGCCCUAUGCUGAGGACAUGUUCUAGCACGUGACACACGGCACACAGUCCUGUCUUUGAAACUCAGGGCCCAGUGUGCUUUGGGAUUUGGAAUGUGUUUUUUAGAAAGGCUAAGUUGUGCCCACCACGUUAUCACACUGAUAUUUCAGCAACAGGAAGGGCAGGCCUGCAGGUAAUACACAAUUCACCACUGAUGAGAAAGUUCCCUUCAUAACUUCAUACUCAGCACUGCAAUGUCAUGACCCUGAACCCCAUCCUGUCCCACUCCCUCCACCCCCACCACGUGCAGUCGACACCAGUGUGUCCCUGUUAGGAGAACAGAGGCAGGUUUGAACCCCGGUCUCUUACCCCAGGCCCUCUGUGCACCAAGUUUGUAAGUGCAUAGUCAACAGGAUGGGCCGCACUGCAUCCGGGGUUUGUGACCUGCCUUUCAGAGACUGUGAGCAACUGUUUUGGCAUACAGCAUGAUGUGCUUACUGGCUCUGUUUCUAUGAGUUAUGUGAGAAUUUCAGCCCUCAAGGACCAAGUCCAGGAAAGGGACAAAGAGCAUCAAUAUCCAUCAACCUAUUCAUCCAUCCCUCUAUCCAUCUAUCCAUCCAUCCAUCCAUCCACCCAUUCAUCUAUCUAGUCACCACCCAUCCAUCUAUUCAGCUGUUAACCUACAUAUCUAAUCUAUCUUCCAUCCAUCUAUCCAUCUAACCACCCAUUCAUCCAGCCAGCUACCCAUCUACUCAUCCAUCCAAUUCAUUCAUCUGUCCAACUAUCCAUCAAUCCACCAACCAUCCAUCCAUCCAUUCAUAGAUUUCCACAUUUGUCCAAGUAUUUUGCAUGCCUCCAGAACGCAGAUUUUUUUGUUUUGUUUUGAGACAGGGUCUCUCUGUGUAGUUCUGGAUAUCCUAGAUCUCACUCUACAGACCAGGCUGGUCUCAAACUCACAGAGAUUCGCCUGCCUCUGCCUCCUGAGUACUGGGAUUAAAGGUGUGCACCACCACCGUCCGGCCCAGAAUGCAGAUUUAUCUUGUCCAUGCAUUUGGCAAAUACUCAAAGGCUACUCUCAGCCAGUGCCGGGUGAGGCGGUGAAGAAGGACCGGCUCUGUACUCAGGGACUUGCUUUCCAGCACAGGAGAGAGGCGACACACAAGAAACCAGAUGAAGACAUAAAAGGCAUGACUAAGGCUGUGCAAGCAACAAAACAGAGAGGACAGAAAAGAAUCCAGGAGCUGGAGACUUUAAAGGUGGGUCAGGGACAGAGCGCGCCGGAUAGCAGGACUCAUCACAAGAUGAAAAGGAGGAGGCCAGUCCCUCCUGGAUAUCGCCGAGAAUUCUAAGAUAGAGAAUUCAAAGCCCAUGUCUGCCAUAUAAAGUGCAAGUCCCAAGCUGGGCAUGGUCCUUACAGGCCUGUAAUCCCAGAACUCAGGAGGCAGAGGCAGGUGGAUCUCUGAGUUCAAG